GGGUGAGUAACACGUGAGCAACCUGCCCUGGACUCUGGGAUAAGCGCUGGAAACGGCGUCUAAUACUGGAUAUGAGACGUGAUCGCAUGGUCGUGUUUGGAAAGAUUUUUCGGUCUGGGAUGGGCUCGCGGCCUAUCAGCUUGUUGGUGAGGUAAUGGCUCACCAAGGCGUCGACGGGUAGCCGGCCUGAGAGGGUGACCGGCCACACUGGGACUGAGACACGGCCCAGACUCCUACGGGAGGCAGCAGUGGGGAAUAUUGCACAAUGGGCGGAAGCCUGAUGCAGCAACGCCGCGUGAGGGAUGACGGCCUUCGGGUUGUAAACCUCUUUUAGCAGGGAAGAAGCGAAAGUGACGGUACCUGCAGAAAAAGCGCCGGCUAACUACGUGCCAGCAGCCGCGGUAAUACGUAGGGCGCAAGCGUUAUCCGGAAUUAUUGGGCGUAAAGAGCUCGUAGGCGGUUUGUCGCGUCUGCUGUGAAAUCCCGAGGCUCAACCUCGGGCCUGCAGUGGGUACGGGCAGACUAGAGUGCGGUAGGGGAGAUUGGAAUUCCUGGUGUAGCGGUGGAAUGCGCAGAUAUCAGGAGGAACACCGAUGGCGAAGGCAGAUCUCUGGGCCGUAACUGACGCUGAGGAGCGAAAGGGUGGGGAGCAAACAGGCUUAGAUACCCUGGUAGUCCACCCCGUAAACGUUGGGAACUAGUUGUGGGGA
rnacentral:rRNA from 2 species